UUGCAGCCUUGGACAGAAGUGUUUC
rnacentral:piRNA from 1 species